rnacentral:rRNA from 1 species
AUUGAACGCUGGCGGCAGGCCUAACACAUGCAAGUCGAGCGAGCGGCGGACGGGUGAGUAAUGUAUGGGGACUGCCCGAUAGAGGGGGAUAACUACUGGAAACGGUAGCUAAUCCCGCAUACUAUCGGAUAACCCAUAUGGAAUUAGCUAGUAGGUGAGGUAAUGGCUAACCUAGGCGACGAUCCCUCGCGGGUCUGAGAGGAGAAUACGCUAAACUGGGACUUGGACACGGCCCAGAGUCCUCCGGAGGCAGAAGGGGGGAAUAUUGCACAAUGGGCGCAAGCCGGAUGCAGCCAUGCCGCGUGUAUGAAGAAGGCCCUAGGGUUGUAAAGUACUUUCAGUCGGGAGGCGUUACCGACAGAAGAAGCACCGGCUAACUCCGUGCCAGCAGCCGCGGUAAUAC